rnacentral:misc_RNA from 1 species
UUCUGAUGUCCUUGUUUGUAAUAUAUUAUUUAGGCUUGAGAAGCUGCAAGCAUCUAUUGAGAGGCAACAAGGAAUUCAAAGGAAGUGGGCUGUGGUAAGUUCUUUGUACAAAGAAGUUCUUGCUUGCCUCAAUCUUAAACAAGGGUGUCAGUUACUCAAAAAACUACACCACCUAGCAGCGGAACGGAUCUUUGGUCUGGAAAUGAGGAAAAAGUAUGCAGAUGGACAAGCUAUUGCUAAAAAGCUGAACAAGGAACUUACCAAGAUAACAGCCAGUGUCAAACUCCUCAUACCCCAACUGAAAGCUUUGAGAACUGCCCAAUUUGGUGAUCUGUCAGGUGAUGAAGUUUUUGCCAUAGUGAAAGAUACGCAAUCACCCAUUUACAGUUGAGUCAACGUGGAUCCUCAAAGUAACACCCUAGCCCAUUCUACAAAAAUACAAAUCAUAAAUGUGUUUUUGUUGGAAGAAAAGGGCCAA